rnacentral:lncRNA from 1 species
CCCUGAGUGCCGUAAAAGGCUUGGUCCUUUUGGAAGUCACAACACUGGCCUUGUUAACGAGGUACACGAGGUUGACGACACCAUCCAGACCCUGCAGCAGCGCCUGAGGGAUGCAGAGGACACCCUGCAGUCGCUGGUCCACAUCAAAGCCACACUCGAGUAUGACCUGGCUGUCAAAGCCAAUUCCCUGUACAUCGACCAGGAAAAAUGCAUGAGCAUGCGCAAGAGCUACCCCAACACCCUCCGGCUGGUCGGCUUCUGCUAGGGACCCCACCGGGUGUGGUUUUGAUACCCCUAAGUUAAGGCUGAGCCAGAGCACUGUCUCAGCAUUUGAACCGAAUGCUAAUAUAGUCACUUAUUAAAGGAUUAUGC